UCAGGGUGCUUCCUGGGGCUUCCCUGGGUUGCUGGCAGCGCUUGGGGGACAGAGAGGUCCAGGCCAGGCUGCUUGGCUUCCUG
ensembl:miRNA